GGUUUUUUGUUUUAAACUAGUAUGACCAGAUGCCUUAUGGGUUUGUACACAUUAAAAUCAGUCAUGUUGUUCUCAUCUUUCAUUCAACACUUCCUCACUAUUCUGUUCAUCAGCUCAAUUUAGUUUUCCAGCUCUAAACUGAGUUGAUCUAAGUGUUCAUCUGUGUGACCUAUCUGAUCUAUAUCUGUCUUGUACGUGGCGUGAAUAAGAGUCAUCAGGAACAUGCCAGAGACCCUGAAUAAUUUGUCCAAGCUGAGAGAUUCCAAGUUUGGGCGGCCAGAUCCCAGACACGGCCUCAGAUUAUUGUGGUGGUUUGCUCAUGAAUAUGUUCGCAUUGACUCCAAUGGUCUAUAUGUGCUGCAUGACCCAGCGGAUGGACAUUUUGGCUUCCAUCGUUUUAAAAAUGUAGAGAGAAUUCUUCCUAUUAACCAGGAAUACUUUGAGACAGGCAACCUCAGCAGGUCUUCAGACCUACCUCAUUAUGUCACUGAAAAGUACACAGGAAAUUCAGAUGCCAGCAACACAGAUCGCAUCAUUGUUUCUGUAUUGUCAAGAUUGAAUGGUAAAAUCUUGUUAAAUGAUGUUUAUGUGACUCAGCAUUUAAACCACAGACUGGAGUUUGACCCAAAUCGCACCUACCGCAUCAGUCUAGAUCUCAUUAGAGAGAUUAAAAACUUGGACAGAUCAGAAUUCCUCGGACAACCGAAGAGGGACCAGAAUUCUUUCUCAGUACGGAUUGAACCCCCUCAGGUUGUAACCAAUCAGCAGCAGUCGUCACCAUCUAGAGGAAAUUGUUGUGGUUGUAAAAUGAUCUGUGCUGUGGCAGGUGGUAUACUUCUUCUAGUUUUUAUUGUUUUGAUGCUUGUUUUAUUUCUGGUGCAAAUGAGCCUACAUAAAUAGCAAAUCUUUUAUUUAUUUUCUUUUAGUGUAUUUUUAUUGAAGGUUUAUGGAUAAAUUACUUCUUUAAAAGACACUUUGGAUUAAGGCAUCUUCUGAUCAGUGGUUCUGCUAUGAAAGGGGUCAUGGAAAGCAGAGAGAUAACAGGGCUUAAUGCAAAUGUUUUGUGCCCUGAUUGGCGCACCAAACAUGGUUUGUUUCAUUUGCAAAACAAUCUAUAUUUUUCAUACUGUUUUGCUUUAUAUAUAUAUAUAUAUAUAUAUAUAUA